GUGUCGUCGGAGCCACUGCAGGUUGGGGGCAGCGGCUGCAGCUCACGAAGCCAGGCUGACAAGAUGUAGGUCUAGCAGUAAUUCAGGUUCUCCUGCACCAGUGUCUUACUUUUCUCUCUGGUAACGUAAUAAUAUUAUGCAAAUCAGUGUCCUUUGUAGGACAGUAUCACACACCCUCUAGAAGUCUAAGAAGAUGCGGUCUGCCACUGUUGUGUCAUUGCCUGUGUGUAGCUACUCGAGCAAAGGUACACCCGCUGUGUGCUGUCAUUACUUGACGAUGUGUAUCCUGCGUGUUAACUUACGCUGAGGAAGACUGCGAAGUUCCCUUAUCCAUGAGGUGACACCUUGCUUAUCCCUACACCGCAAGAAUAUACGACCUUCAGCCAGUGGUUAUCCUCGACCGCUCAGUCGAACGCUUCCCACUUCUCUCCCUGAAUGUCAGAAUGUCUGUGGAAUGCGGGGAAGAGAGUCGCAACGAACGAAUCACUACAUCACGCCUAAGACAUUACUCCAGCUAAAUUCUCCAGUGUCUGACGAAGAUAUCAACUAUUUAUAUAUAUAUAUUUCAUAUAUUUCGAGCUUAAUAAAUCGAAUGGGUUAAAGCAACUGACCUAAAAAAGAAACUUUUCUAAAAUUUUCAUCUAUGGAUUAAUAAAUUUUUAUUUUCACUCUAUAUGGAGUAAUAUUUUUUUUAGUUUUACACCUACUCUUUCUCAGAAAAGUUACACCUAGCCUAACGUAAUCGAAUUUAGCCUAAUUCUACUAUAUAUAUUAUAGAUCGGUAUAAAUUAAACACUAACUAAAGUCAAUGAUAUAUAUUUUAUCGUUAUAUCAGACUGAUUUUCGCAGAUUCAUUGUAUAAGCAAAUUUUCUUUCUCCCUAUUUGGCAGAAGUGACCCUUUCUUAUGAGGACAAAUUCGGUGAUCCGGUUAAUUCGUCACAAAACACAAAC